CAACAGGGAUUGCCUCAGUAACGGCGAGUGAAGCGGCAACAGCUCAAAUUUGAAAUCUGGCCUCGGCCCGAGUCUGUAAUUUGUAGAGGAAGCUUUUGGUGCGGCACCGACCGAGUCCCCUGGAACGGGGCGCCAUAGAGGGUGAGAGCCCCGUAUGGUUGGACGCCUAUCCUCUGUAAAGCUCCUUCGACGAGUCGAGUAGUUUGGGGAAUGCUGCUCAAAAUGGGAGGUAAAUUUCUUCUAAAGCUAAAUAUUGGCCAGAGACCGAUAGCGCACAAGUAGAGUGAUCGAAAGAUGAAAAGCACUUUGAAAAGAGGGUUAAAUAGCACGUGAAAUUGUUGAAAGGGAAGCGCUUGUGACCAGACUUGCGCCUCGUCGAUCAUCCGGGGUUCUCCCCGGUGCACUCGGCGGGGCUCAGGCCAGCAUCGGUUUUCGUGGGGGGACAAAGGCACCGGGAACGUAGCUCCUCCGGGAGUGUUAUAGCCCGGGGCGUAAUGCCCUCGCGGGGACCGAGGACCGCGCUUCGGCAAGGAUGCUGGCGUAAUGGUCAUCAGCGACCCGUCUUGAAACACGGACCAAGGAGUCAAGGUUUUGCGCGAGUGUUUGGGUGUAAAACCCGCACGCGUAAUGAAAGUGAACGUAGGUGAGAGCUUCGGCGCAUCAUCGACCGAUCCUGAUGUAUUCGGAUGGAUUUGAGUAGGAGCGUUAAGCCUUGGACCCGAAAGAUGGUGAACUAUGCUUGGAUAGGGUGAAGCCAGAGG
rnacentral:rRNA from 1 species